rnacentral:rRNA from 1 species
UACAGAGGUCUCAAGCGUUGUUCGGAUUCAUUGGGCGUAAAGGGUGCGUAGGUGGCGCGCUAAGUCAGAUGUGAAAUUUCGGAGCUUAACUCCGAAACUGCAUUUGAUACUGGCAUGCUUGAGGACUGGAGAGGAGACUGGAAUUCACGGUGUAGCAGUGAAAUGCGUAGAGAUCGUGAGGAAGACCAGUGGCGAAGGCGGGUCUCUGGACAGUUCCUGACACUGAGGCACGAAGGCCAGGGGAGCAAACGGG